rnacentral:rRNA from 1 species
AGAUUGAACGCUAGCGGGAUGCUUUACACAUGCAAGUCGAACGGCAGCGCGGACUUCGGUCUGGCGGCGAGUGGCGAACGGGUGAGUAAUAUAUCGGAACGUGCCCAGUAGCGGGGGAUAACUACGCGAAAGCGUGGCUAAUACCGCAUACGCCCUACGGGGGAAAGGGGGGAUUCUUCGGAACCUCUCACUAUUGGAGCGGCCGAUAUCAGAUUAGCUAGUUGGUGAGGUAAAGGCUCACCAAGGCGACGAUCUGUAGCUGGUUUGAGAGGACGACCAGCCACACUGGGACUGAGACACGGCCCAGACUCCUACGGGAGGCAGCAGUGGGGAAUUUUGGACAAUGGGGGAAACCCUGAUCCAGCCAUCCCGCGUGUGCGAUGAAGGCCUCGGUGUUAAGACACUUUGU